GUGUGGAUGGCAGAGUCAGGUUUAAUGCGCCAGUCUUGAAAACUGGAAAUCCUUAUUGGAUUCGUGGGUUCAAAUCCUACUCCACACG
rnacentral:tRNA from 1 species